rnacentral:rRNA from 1 species
GACGAACGCUGGCGGCGUGCUUAACACAUGCAAGUCGAACGAAGAGCGACGGAAGCUUGCUUCUAUCAAUCUUAGUGGCGAACGGGUGAGUAACGCGUAAUCAACCUGCCCUUCAGAGGGGGACAACAGUUGGAAACGACUGCUAAUACCGCAUACGAACUAACCUCGGCAUCGAGGAUAGAUGAAAGGUGGCCUCUACAUGUAAGCUAUCACUGAAGGAGGGGAUUGCGUCUGAUUAGCUAGUUGGAGGGGUAACGGCCCACCAAGGCGAUGAUCAGUAGCCGGUCUGAGAGGAUGAACGGCCACAUUGGGGCUGAGACACGGCCCAGACUCCUACGGGAGGCAGCAGUGGGGAAUCUUCCGCAAUGGACGAAAGUCUGACGGAGCAACGCCGCGUGAGUGAUGACGGCCUUCGGGUUGUAAAGCUCUGUUAAUCGGGACGAAAGGCCUUCUUGCGAAUAGUGAGAAGGAUUGACGGUACCGGAAUAGAAAGCCACGGCUAACUACGUG